ACGGUCCUUAAGUAUCAAAUAUAAUUAUCAAAUAAACAAAGAAAAGGAUCCAAAUGAAAUCAACAUCUAGACUUAGGGUUUUAUCUGACAGAAUUCUACGAGUUUUUGUGUUUGUCUAUUUCUGCAGGGGGUUAUCAGGAAAUAUGAAAGAAAGGCCCACACGUCGGGUUUACAUAGAGAUAUUAACGUGCCGCGCAAUUUUCUACCA
rnacentral:lncRNA from 1 species